CUUGAAGUCAUCCAUGCGAAUCUGGAGCUUUUCCACUGUCCUGUCUAGCACUAUGUAGUGACUCUUCAUUGUCUCUAUCUGGUGGCCCCAAAUUCUCUCAAGUUCUUCUUCCUAAAUGGGAGAGACAAUGACAUCCAAGGCCUCUGCUUCUGAUGUUGCCAAAAUGGAAGCGUCCUGAGAUCAAGAAGAGAUACCAGGCCCAUGCACACCAGGCUGGCCUCUGCCAGCACAUGAAAUACUUAUUGACAGGGACAAGAGAGCCACCCACCCAUGGACUCUGCAUAGAUGCAACUCAUGUGCCACCCCACUCACUUCCGAAGGUCCCUUUCCAGCAAUAAACAGCUUGAUUGGGAGGGUGACAGUCAAGCAGGUGGCCCCUAGCUCAAGCCAAGCCACUGACUUCUGACCAUGACACUAACCUCCAGCCUGGCUUUCUGGAGGUUACAAAUCUUUUCCUCCAGCACAUUCACUGCAUUACCAAGCUUUCCAGAACUUCCCAUUUUAGCUGAAAGUGAAGAGAGGGAGCGACUGUUCAAAGGGAAGAGGGAGGAGAUAACAGGAGAACUCACACACUUACACGGUGUCCCAAAGAAAUACAGUGAGCUUGGGGUGGGGGACUUUGUGAUAACUGUUUCUCAAAAAACUCACAAAGGGGGCUGGAGAGAUAGCUCAGAGGUUAAGAGCACUGGCUGCUCUUCCAGAGGUCCCGAGUUAAUUCCCAGCAACCACAUGUGGCUCACAGCCAUCUGUUACGAGAUCUAGUGCCCUCUUCUGGUGUGCAGAUAUACAUGAAAGCAGAAUGUUGUAUACAUAAUAAAUAAAUAAAACCUUUAAAAAAAAAACUCACAAAGAACAUAUGAACCAAAUAUGGUGGUACACGCCUUCAGUUACCAGCACUUAGGAAACAGAGGCAGGUAGAUCUCUGAAAGUUCAAAGCUACCUUGGUCUACAUAGUGAGUUCCAGGACAGCCAGGGCUAUGUCUAAAAAAAACUAAGUGUGGUGCUGUAUACUUAUAAUCGCAUCAGCAAAUGAACACCAGGAGGAACAAAAAUUCAAGAUAAAAAGAAUAGAUUAUUAGCCGGGCGUUGGUGGCGCACUCCUUUAAUCCCAGCACUCAGGAGGCAGAGGCAGAUGGAUCCUUGUGAGUUCGAGACCAGCCUGGUCUACAAAAGCUAGUUCCAGGACAGCCUCCAAAGCCACAGGGAAACCCUGUCUCAAAAAACAAACAAACAAAGAAAGAAUAGAUUAUUAAGAGGUUAGUGCUUAAGUAAAAGGAACAGAAUGAAGAUCUUGUUGAGGAAGCCUACGGUGCCAGACUACAUACAGGGAGGACCUGAGCCUCUUCCAGGGUUAGCCAGGACUACCUAGGUAAUCUAAGCGCUGGUUCAGUUUGGUUGAGAGAUGAACAAGCUCCUCUUUGAGGGAGUCAUGCCUGACAGGCAUCUGGGCUAGGUGGCUCAUAGAGUACUGGACAGCCGCCUUCUUCUCUUCAGGACUCACAGCCUGGCUGGCAGUCACCAUGGCCUGGGACAGAGCUGAUCUGGGUGUGGUGGGGCGAGUGGCUGGUGUCAGCGUUUCAACUAACUCUUGCAGCUCAUCAUCACUGUAGGGUAUGAUGUCGGUGGCCCCAGGGCUAGUUCCUGAACCCAGGAAAUCUGCAAAGGCCUCCAAAGGCCCACCCGCCGCCAUGGUUGAGGCUGAAGAAGCCAAUUUGCUUUCAGGAUCUUUGAUCGCCUUGAGAGCAGCUGUGGCUCUCUGGGCGGCUGUGUUUGCUGCAGCUGCGUAAGCCGCAGCAGUUGCUGCAGCUGCUGAAGCAACAGACUUCAGCUUCUUUAGGGCCGACAGAGAGUGCUUUGAUUGUGCUUCUGGGGUCUUGUCCUUCUGUUCCUUAUCUUUGUGGACCGUGUCCUUGGAAGCGCUGUCUUGGGGGGCACCAUCUUUGGGGACUCUGCGCCUGUGGGCUCUAUGGUGGUGCACCCUAUCCUUGGGAGCCCUAUCCUGGGGAGCCCCUUCCUUGGGGACUCCAUCCUGGGGAGCCCUUUCCUUGGGGACCCCAACCUGGGGAGCCUCUUCCUUGGUGACCCCAUCCUGGGGAGCCUCUUCCUUGGGAACCCCAUCCUGGGGCGCCCCAUCCCUAGGGAUCUGUUCCAUAUACCCAUAUUCAUAUUCAUCUCUUUCUUCAAGAUCUGAGAGCGGCGUUCCUGUUUUAGGAACCUGGUGUUGUGGUCCAGCUUCCAUGGCUGGGAAAGGAGCCCUGUACAUCUGGCCCUGAGGACCAAAUGGACGUAGGCCAGGCUGGACAGUACCCAUAUCUGACAUAGGCCAAGCCCCAGGCCAACCCCAGGCCAAGCCCCAGGCCAAGCCCCAGGCCAAGCCCCAGGAGCCCCAGGCCAAGCCCCAGGCCAAGCCCCAGGAGCUCCAGGCCAAGCCCCAGGAGCUCCAGGCCAAGCCCCAGGAGCUCCAGGCAAAGCCCCAGGAGCUCCAGGCAAAGCCCCAGGCAAAGCCCCAGGCAAAGCCCCAGGAAAAGCCCCAGGCAAAGCCCCAGGAGCUCCAGGCAGAGCCCCAGGCAGAGCCCCAGGCAGAGCACCAGGCAGAGCACCAGGCAGAGCACCAGGCAAAGCCCCAGGCAAAGCCCCAGGCAAAGCCCCAGGAACUCCAGGCAAAGCCCCAGGCAGAGCCCCAGGCAGAGCCCCAGGCAGAGCACCAGGCAGAGCACCAGGCAGAGCCCCAGGUGCCCCAGGCAAAGCCCCAGGCAAAGCCCCAGGCAAAGCCCCAGGAACUCCAGGCAAAGCCCCAGGCAGAGCACCAGGCAGAGCACCAGGCAGAGCACCAGGCAGAGCACCAGGAACUCCAGGCAAAGCCCCAGGCAGAGCCCCAGGCAGAGCCCCAGGAGCCCCAGGCCGAGCCCCAGGAGCCCCAGGCAAAGCCCCAGGCAAAGCCCCAGGCAAAGCCCCAGGCAAAGCCCCAGGAGCUCCAGGCAAAGCCCCAGGCAAAGCCCCAGGCAAAGCCCCAGGAACUCCAGGCAAAGCCCCAGGCAAAGCCCCAGGAGCCUCAGGCAAAGCCCCAGGCCGAACACCAGGCAAAGCCCCGGGCAAAGCCCCGGGCAAAGCCCCGGGCAAAGCCCCAGGAGCCCCAGGCAGAGCCCCGGGCAGAGCCCCGGGCAAAGCCCCGGGCAAAGCCCCGGGCAAAGCCCCGGGCAAAGCCCCGGGCAAAGCCCCAGGAGCCCCAGGCAGAGCCUCAGGCAGAGCACCAGGCAAAGCACCAGGCAAAGCCCCAGGCAAAGCCCCAGGAGCCCCAGGCAAAGCCCCAGGAGCCCCAGGCAAAGCCCCAGGCAAAGCCCCAGGCAAAGCCCCAGGCAAAGCCCCAGGCAAAGCCCCAGGAGCUCCAGGCAAAGCCCCAGGCAAAGCCCCAGGCAAAGCCCCAGGCAAAGCCCCAG
ensembl:lncRNA